AGAGUCUGAUCCUGGCUGAUGAACGCUGGCGGCAUGCUUAAACAUGCAAGUCGGACGGAAGUGUGUUUGGUGGACGGGUGAGUAACGCGUAAGAACUCGCUCCUUGAGGGAACAACAGCUACAAUACCCCUGUAGGCUGAGGAGCAAAAGGAGGAAUCCCGAGGAGGGGCUGCGUCUGAUUAGCUAGUUGGUGAGGCACAUUACCAAGGCGAAUUAGUAGCUGGUCCGAGAGGGUGAUCAGCCACACUGACUGAGACACGGCCCAGACUCCUACGGAGGCAGCAGGGGGUUUUCCGCAAUGGAAGCCGACGGAGCAAUGCCGCGUGAAGGCCCAUGGUCGUGAACUCUUCCCGGAGAAGCAAUGACGGCUGGGGAAUACAUCGGCUAACCUGUGCCAGCAGCCGCGGUAAUACAGAUAGCAAGCGUUAUCCGAAGAUUGGGCGUAAAGCGUCUGUAGGUGGUUUUUGUCCGCUGUCAUCCCAGGGCUCAACCCUGACAGGCGGUGGAAACUACCAAGCUGGAGUACGGUAGCAGAGGAAUUUGGUGGAGCGGUGAAAUGCUUAGAGAUCGGAAAGAACACCAACGCGAAAGCACUCUGCUGGGCCGACACUGACACGAGAGACGAAAGUUAGGGGAGCGAAUAACCCCAGUAGUCCUAGCCGUAAACGAUGGAUACUAGGCGCUGUGCGUAUCGACCGUGCAGUGCUGUAGCUAACGCGUUAAGUACCCCGCCUGGGGAGUACGUCUCGCGAAACUCAAAGGAAUUGACGGGGCCCGCACAAGCGGUGGAGCAUGUGGUUUAAUUCGAUGCAAAGCGAAGAACCUUACUGGGGCUUGACAUGCGCGAAUCCUCUUGAAAGAGGUGCCUUCGGGAACGGACAGGUGGUGCAUGGCUGUCGUCAGCUCAGCCGGUGUUGGUUAUCCCGCAACGAGCGCAACCUCGUAGGCCGCUGUUGAGUUUGACCCUGAACAGAUGCCGGUGAUAAGCCGAGAAGGUGAGAUGACGUCAUCAUCAUGCCCCCGCCCUGGGCGACACACGCUACAAUGGCUGGGACAAGCAUCCGCGAGGGUGAGCACCCAAAACCGUCCUCAGUCUGGAUUGUGGCGCAACCGCCUGCAUGAAGCCGGAAUCGCUAGUAAUCGCCGGUCAGCCAUACGGCGAAUCUGUUCCUGGGCUGUACACACCGCCCGUCACACUAUGGGAGCUGGCCAUGCCCGAAGUCGUUACCUAACCGCAAGGAGGGGGAUGCUGAAGGCAGGGACUGGAGUGAAGUCGUAACAAGUGCAGUGCAUCCGGAAGGUGCGGCUG
rnacentral:rRNA from 1 species